GCCUGCAUGGUCUAGUGGUAAGAUCCUCCGUUCGGGUGUUAACAUCGGAGGGGUCCCCAGUUCGAUCCCGGGUGCAGGCC